CACGUAGGCACCAAGCGUUGUCCGGAUUUAUUGGGCGUAAAGAGCUCGUAGGCGGUUCGGUAAGUCGGGUGUGAAAACUUUGGGCUCAACCCAAAGCCUGCACUCGAUACUGCUGUGGCUUGAGUCCGGUAGGGGAGUGGGGAAUUCCUGGUGUAGCGGUGGAAUGCGCAGAUAUCAGGAGGAACACCGGUGGCGAAGGCGCCACUCUGGGCCGGUACUGACGCUGAGGAGCGAAAGCGUGGGGAGCGAACAGG
rnacentral:rRNA from 1 species